AAAACAAACAAAUAAAUCAAAACUUUCAACAACGGAUCUCUUGGUUCUGGCAUCGAUGAAGAACGCAGCAAAAUGCGAUAAGUAAUGUGAAUUGCAGAAUUCAGUGAAUCAUCGAAUCUUUGAACGCACAUUGCGCCCGCCAGUAUUCUGGCGGGCAUGCCUGUUCGAGCGUCAUUUCAACCCUCAAGCUCAGCUUGGUGUUGGGACUCGCGGUAACCCGCGUUCCCCAAAUCGAUUGGCGGUCACGUCGAGCUUCCAUAGCGUAGUAAUCAUACACCUCGUUACUGGUAAUCGUCGCGGCCACGCCGUAAAACCCCAACUUCUGAAUG
rnacentral:misc_RNA from 1 species